rnacentral:rRNA from 1 species
AGACGAAGGUGGCAAGUGUUGCUCGGAAUUACUGGGCAUAAAGAGCGCGUAGGUGGCUUGGUCAGCGGGGGAUGAAAUCCCAUGGCUCACCCAUGGAACUGUCUUCCGAACUGCCUGGCUUGAGGGCGAGAGGGGAAAGUGGAAUUCCUGGUGUAGCGGUGAAAUGCGUAGAUAUCAGGAGGAACGCCGGUGGCGAAAGCGACUUUCUGGCUCGUCCCUGACACUGAGGCGCGAAAGCUAGGGGAGCAAACAGAAUUAGAAACCCUGGUAGUCC